CAAUCGAUUAUUUAUCAGUCUUUGAAGAAUCUAAUAGACACUGCCUCAACACAAUCGAUUGUAAUAAGUUCACAAUCGAUUAUUUUAUAGCUUUGAAAAACUCUAAUGGACGCUGCCUUAAUACAAUCGAUUGUCAUAAAUUCACAAUCGAUUAUUGUGUGGCUUUGAAAAAUCUGAUGUACACUGCCUCAACACAAUCGAUUGUCAUAGGGUACACAAUCGAUUGUCAUGCAGAUUUGANNN
rnacentral:lncRNA from 1 species